rnacentral:snRNA from 1 species
UUGUUGUAGACCACAUUAUCCAU